rnacentral:misc_RNA from 1 species
GCCAUGUCAUACGUGCCUCUUUCCGCUAUCAGCCGAAAGAGUGCAUGACUUUCACGUCAGCGUUCAAACUUCAAAUAUUUAUUCAUGACGGGUAUUUCAAAUCCACUAUUCACAGUUUAAACCGAAAAAAGUCUUGUUGUAUGUUGUGUACUUGCUUUUAUCUAUGUUAGCGGACAAGUACUUGUCUGAUGUUAGUGCUGGUAUAGUCCUGUGAUUGUUUGGACGUGUUAGUAUUGCCGAAACGUAAAAUUUUAUAAACUUUGCAAAAUCUAAUUAAAACAAUGAGUGCAAAUCAAAGUGGGAGUUCAGUUCCCAAAGAUCUUGAUGAAAUCAUCAUUGAAGAUAUGCCUUGGGCGCAAAACAUGUUGCAAAAGUUCCAAGAGGGCUUACGGUUAAACUUUCUUCACUGGUGCUCAAUCGCUAAAGAAGUAGGCGGUGCCGAUGGACAACACACUAAAGACUGGGGGGAAAAUUAUGGUCAGGCUCUGAAUCUUCUAUUACGCGAUAUGCUGAAUGAUAUCUUAGGAGUUCAAGACAAGACUACCGAUACUAUUCAACUUUUACUCCAAAAACUGCAAAGGCUAUGUGACGCGUUAAAUCAACCGAUGCCUAAUAUUGGAGCGGAUGGUCUUUGCCUUUACGAAGAACAAAAGCAGCUUCAAAGUUACAUCGCAGAAUGGGAAUCUGUACUCAAUAUGAAGAAACAAGAGCUUAAAACGUUGGAAAAGAAGUACCUGAGUCUGUGUAAAUCGCUGGGAGAAGAACCGAGACUUAAAUUUGAAUAUUCUCGAAUGCCAACUGCUGCUGCGUUGCAUGAUUACGAAUGCACUAUUCAACAGUUAGAAACAACAUUGUUUGAAAGACAUGAACGAUUCUAUCACCUGAAAGCUCUGAUUACAGAACACGUUGAGCAUCUCCAUUACAGACCUACCUGCGAAUUUGAAAAAAAGGUGCUGUCCGAUAAUGUCAUGGAAUUUACGAAAAAUAAUAUGGCACAAUUGGAAUGUUUUGUCGCAGAAUUGGAAAAAAUAAAGCAAUCCAUCGAAGACGAUAUUGCGCAUUUGAGAAGUCGAAUCGAAGAUCUGUGGAACAUGAUUGAUACUGAUUUGAAGUAUCGUGAUGAUUUCAGAACUCUUCAUAUCGGACGUUCUUUGGAUGUUCUGGAUAAAUUGCGAGAAGAACUGCACAGAUGUGAAGUUGUGAAAAAGGAAAAUAUACAGAAUUUUGUAGAAAAACUAAGAAGUCGAUUAGAAGAAGUGUGGAAAAAGUGCCAUUGUUCCGAUUCGAUAAAAAGCUCCUUUACAUGCUUUUAUAGCAAUUGUUACACGGAAGAUUUAUUAGAUUUGCAUGAAAUAGAAAUUGGUAAAUGGGAGAAAUAUUAUGAAGAUAACCAACAGUUGAUACAGUUAUUGGAAAAACACAAAGAAUUGUGGCAAGAGGUAAUUGUUCUGGAAGAAAAUGCUGCAGCUGCUGACCGGUACAAAAAUAGAGGAGGAAACCUUUUGCAGGAAGAGAAAAAGCGCAAUAAGUUAUCAAAAAUUAUACCAAAAAUUGAAGCUGAAAUUUUGGCUCUAUGUGAAGAGUACACGAAAAAUAAUGGUGGGGCUAUAUUUACCACCUUUGGGGAACCACCUGACGCAGCAAUUCAAUAUUUGCAUCAAAAGCGUGAUGUUGAUCGCAGAAUGAAGCUGAGCGCCCGUAAAAUGCAACGAGAACUAACUCCGAGCAGUACCACCAAGUUACCUGUGAGCUUGUAUGGCGCUUCUACUAGUAAAAUAAUCGUCACGCCUGCAGCUAAAAGGAAGUUAUUAGCCUCACCAACUCCUUCAAAAAAACUGAAAAAUGAAGUGCACAACAAUCCUAAAACCACACCGUUAGUUAAACCUUUGCCGAAAAAAAAAUUAACUCUGGCUACACGUCCCCUGGCAAGUCAAAAGCGUAGAUCUCAAUCAUCCAUAGAGAGGAGUAGGCGUAGGAUGUCUGGUCGAAUUUUAGCACACCUCAGUAAGGAAGAACGCGACCACGAUACUGAAAACACAACCUAUGCGAAAUUUGAGCAUUGUCUGCAAGGUUUUUUUCUGGUGGGAGGGAUGUGUAACAGUUUAGCUAUUUAACAGCAAUAAUUUAUUUGCAAAAAGCCCCACUGACGCACAGCUCUUUUGAAAAGGACUGAGCAACUUUCCAGUAACGAGGUACACUGCACGAUUAAUGGCGAACAGACAUCCCCUUCAAAAAAGACACCGAAUAGAGUUCUUUUGACAGCGCCACAGUCCAGAAGUCCUUUAACACCGAAGACUACGUCUCAACUCAGUAUUUGUAAGAAGAAUUUGAAAUUGUUGUUUUAAUUUGUUGCAAUAUUGUUUUUAAAUUUUAGUUUUGUUGCGUGGUGUAGAAUGUCGGUUCUGUGUGGGUUUUAACAAUGUAUAUUGGAGCAACAACUUUUAACCACUUGACUAAAUAAAAACGUAUCAUUGCGAUGAUAUCUACAUCGCAAUGAUGUGUUUUUCAAUACAGAUUUUAUAAAUCGAAGAAUAAAAGUGGGACAAGUCUGAGUCGCAAAAUUUUUAUUAGAGAACGACCAACGACGAAUUGAAUGAAUUAAAUUAAGGGUUUUUUAAUAAGUGUCCGACAUUUCACAGGGCGAUGAAUGUUGGUUUUAAAUGGUUUUGUAACAGGACAAACUUAAUUUUGAUCUUGAUUUUUCACUUACAUGUGGAGGCUGCUACCUACUUGUCUCUCCCACUUUCUCAUCAUUAAUCUAAGUUUUUACUUUGACUUUAUCAUUAAUUAUUUCUAUUAAUAAGAAUGCCUUUUUUAUGUAAAAAUGAUAGCGAAAAUCAUUUUGUUAUUAAAAAUGUGAUACAAGAAUGCAAGAAGAUCAAAUUCAAGUUUGUAUCACCAAACAUGGAUAUUAUGAGAUUAUGUGAUCUCACGAUAAGUGAGGGUUUUAACACGAUGUUGUUCGAUAAGCUCGCAUUGUUGACCCAUGUGAAAUCACGGACACUUAUUUAAGAAAAAAACUAUAUUUCAACCACAAUAGCAACUGACUAGUUUUUUGGAUUGAUUUCCACAGGUAAUACGUUUUUUUUUCGAUUACAUUACUGCACCAGCGUUAUUCCCAAUUUUUUUUGUUUUUUUUCUUCGUGCCCAUCAGCAUAGUAACGCCCAACGAAACAAAUUCAACAGCUUUCUAUUGUUUCGAGAAUGAGUAAUCUAUAAAGUUUGAACUAACGACUAUAUUUUAAGAAACAUUUAUUAUUUACCACGUUUUUGCAUUAACUGAAAGUAAGAUAUUAUAGGUAGGAUCUAAAGCUCAUUUUAGACGGUCAGUUCAGUUUUACGUUCAGUUUUAGUAGUUCAACUGUUGGCAAACUCAUCGAGCUACAGCUCCGUAUCCGUUUCAGUUUUUCCGUCAUUUUUUUGUGUUCAGACAUACAGAUAACAUACAGACUGAACUGACCGUCUAAAAGGACCUUAAAUAAAACGAAGUACGAUUUAUUAACCAUUUGCGUUUUCCAGAUAUGUGUAUUAUUUAUUAUAAAUAAUUAUAAUAUUUACAUUCGUACAACAUCAAUGGAGGUCUUACCGGGCUCAAACUCAUUUCCAAUUCGUUACGGUUAAUUACUUUAAGUAUUAUUUUGGAAUAUUUCGAUGUUUAUUUAAUAUAUGUUAUGUUUCAUCAGAGCUUUAUUUACGUAUUUGUUUGCAUUUUUUCAUUAUUACGCAGAUCAAGUCAGCUAUGUA